UGUUUUUUUCUUUGUAUUUCACUCGGUCAUCUCCAGUCCAGUGGCCACCCUCAUCUCCUGCUUGACACGAUCUUUCUUUUUUUUUUCCUUAAUUGUUUUCUUUUACUUUGGCUGCACAAAAAGCAGGAGUAUAAAAGUUGGAGAAAAAGGAAUCCUAUUUUCACAGACAUACUGGUGGUAGUAGUAGCUGGAUCCACCACAGCUAGUACGGCUCAUCCACGCCUCUCUCUCUGUGUCUCACUCUCAGUAUUAUCCUUCUUCAGAGCUCAGAUUUCGCUAAAAUGCAGGUCAUUUGUAAACCCAUUACGUGCUGUUGUUAUCUGGGUCGCACUUAAUGAUGAUAUAUCUCAAAAUUCUAGGGUUUCAUGCUUUCUUUUGUCAAAGUUGAAUGUGAAUCGCUCAUUGUGAAUUGAGAGCCCUAAGAUUUUUUGGGUUUCAAGAAAGACUGACAAAAGUUUCUGCCAUUGUUGGGUCGUCUGAAGAUUUGAAGAUUUCAGGGUGCAAGUGACAAAUCACUUUUGUCUGCGUAAGAGGCUUUAUGGUUAAAUCCUGGAGAAUCAAUGAAUUGCUGUAAAGAUUCUGUAGUAUUUGAGUGAUCUCGUGAUCCUUGAGAGCUUCUUGUACAAGGUUUCCAAGAGGGGAAAAAAGAAAAAAGAGAGUUGCAACGGUUGAAACCUUCAAGGCUGCUUUUUACUCUCUGCUCGGAGAAUAUAUUCUUCUCUAUCCAGCAGCCUUUGUUUCAAUAUAAAAGUCAGAGAUAAACGUGGCACCAACUAAGGAUUUUCUUGGCUGAAUUAAGAGUGAUCUUGAGCUUUUACUGGCAGGAUUGAUUGUUGUAACCUUUUCAAAUUUCCGUUAUAUAUCUUCUGGAUCUGGGCAUUCACUGGAAAUACAUUGUCUGGGGUCUUCUACUGAGGCUUUUACAAGCAUAAUCAAGUGAUAUCAAGCUGAAUUCCAACAUUUCAAAGCAUCGAUGGGGCUUCUUGGAAGUCUCGCGAUGCUUUUUCUUCUGAUAUUGUUAUCCUGGUUCCCAGAAAUUAGGUCUCAGUCGAAUAAUCGCACUCAGACCCUUGAUCCGCUUCUCCAAGACUAUGCCUUCAGGGUUUUUGCAAGCCCUAAGACAGGUAUUCCCUAUGAUGGGGUUGUUCCCUCAAAUUUAACUGGAAUUAAUAUUGCAGCAAUGAGGCUCAGGAGUGGCAGCUUAAAAAGAAAAGGUGUUCCGAUGUAUAAGGAAUUUGAAAUCCCCCCUGGAGUUAUGGAGAGCCCGUAUGUUGAACGGCUUGUUUUGGUAUAUCAUAAUUUGGGUAAUUGGUCAACGAUUUAUUAUCCAUUAACCGGUUACACUUACCUGACUCCAGUACUCGGCCUGCUUGGUUACAGUGCCGCAAAUUUGUCGGCUACAAAUUUACCUGAAUUGGAAAUUAGGACAACUGGUGAUCCCAUAAAGAUCAAAUUCCCAGAAGUGAGAUCAGCGCCUGAUGGAUCAGUUGCACAGUGUGUUUGGUAUGAUGGACAUGGCUUGGCUAAUUUCACCAAUGUUGUCUCCGGCAAUGUAUGUUCAACGACUCAACAGGGGCACUUUGCUAUAGUUGUGGGGUCUGUUGCUCCUUCUCCAUCUCCAGUCUCUCCUAUUCCACCUUCUAGUGGAGGUUCGAAAGGGACCAAUUCAAGAGUCUGGAUUAUUGUUGGUUCAGUGCUUGGGGGAUUAGCAUUGUUUUUGUUGUUGGCAUUCCUGUUAUUGUGGUUGCGCAAAUACAAGCACAAGAAGAGAAUGCAACAGAUGGAGAAUGCUGCGGAUGUGGGAGAAACCCUGCGAAUGACCACAGUUGGGGAGACCAAAGCACCAUCAGCAAUGCUAACUCGAACACAACCCACCCUUGAGAGCGAAUAUGUGCCCUAACUCCCACCUUUCAUACAUGCUUUGUCCAGUUUUCCAUAGGCAUUCCUAUUCAGUGCACAGGUACCUAAGUAAUGAGAAUUGUAGAUGAGGUCCCUGCACUUCUGCUACACUGGAUGGAAAGAGACAGAUAAUGGAGCCAAAGGAGCCAUCGGCAGAACAAUAGUGUGGCCCCAACGAACAGCGCAGCAGAGGAUUUUGUUCAAUUAUGAGGUUGUCAGGGAGCCUGUGUCUGCGUGUGUGUAGCCACGGGGUUGUUGUACGGAGCCAUCAAAUUUAUUAACAACAGCUGUCUUUCUUCUACUCAUACAAUACUCACUGACACAGGCGUACAAAUAUAAUGUAACUACUGUUUAAGGGUUAAGACCCUGCGGUAGAAGUUUCCCUGCAAACAUCUCCAUAGAGAUUACUCA